rnacentral:rRNA from 1 species
GCAAGUCGAGCGAACAGAUAAGGAGCUUGCUCCUUUGACGUUAGCGGCGGACGGGUGAGUAACACGUGGGUAACCUACCUAUAAGACUGGAAUAACUCCGGGAAACCGGGGCUAAUGCCGGAUAACAUUUAGAACCGCAUGGUUCUAAAGUGAAAGAUGGUUUUGCUAUCACUUAUAGAUGGACCCGCGCCGUAUUAGCUAGUUGGUAAGGUAAUGGCUUACCAAGGCAACGAUACGUAGCCGACCUGAGAGGGUGAUCGGCCACACUGGAACUGAGACACGGUCCAGACUCCUACGGGAGGCAGCAGUAGGGAAUCUUCCGCAAUGGGCGAAAGCCUGACGGAGCAACGCCGCGUGAGUGAUGAAGGGUUUCGGCUCGUAAAACUCUGUUAUUAGGGAAGAACAAACGUGUAAGUAACUGUGCACGUCUUGACGGUACCUAAUCAGAAAGCCACGGCUAACUACGUGCCAGCAGCCGCGGUAAUACGUAGGUGGCAAGCGUUAUCCGGAAUUAUUGGGCGUAAAGCGCGCGUAGGCGGUUUCUUAAGUCUGAUGUGAAAGCCCACGGCUCAACCGUGGAGGGUCAUUGGAAA